GACGAACGCUGGCGGCGUGCUUAACACAUGCAAGUCGAACGGAAAGGCCCUGCUUUUGUGGGGUGCUCGAGUGGCGAACGGGUGAGUAACACGUGAGUAACCUGCCCUUGACUUUGGGAUAACUUCAGGAAACUGGGGCUAAUACCGGAUAGGAGCUCCUGCUGCAUGGUGGGGGUUGGAAAGUUUCGGCGGUUGGGGAUGGACUCGCGGCUUAUCGGCUUGUUGGUGGGGUAGUGGCUUACCAAGGCUUUGACGGGUAGCCGGCCUGAGAGGGUGACCGGCCACAUUGGGACUGAGAUACGGCCCAGACUCCUACGGGAGGCAGCAGUGGGGAAUAGUGCACAAUGGGCGGAAGCCUGAUGCAGCAACGCCGCGUGCGGGAUGACGGCCUUCGGGUUGUAAACCGCUUUCGCCUGUGACGAAGCGUGAGUGACGGUAAUGGGUAAAGAAGCACCGGCUAACUACGUG
rnacentral:rRNA from 1 species